CUGAGUUUAGGGUCUCUUUUAGAGCCCGAACCUCCAACCCUUUGUUAAAAACACUUUGUUGCUUUGGCAGGCCCGUCUUAUCCUUUAACGGGGAGACGACCGCCGGGGGCGUUUAGUCACCUCUGGUCAGUGCUUGCCGAUAGCCUAUUAAAAAUUCUUUAUUAAAUAAUGUCUGAAAAAUUAUAAUUAAAUAUAAUUA
rnacentral:misc_RNA from 1 species